rnacentral:rRNA from 1 species
UACGUAGGUGGCAAGCGUUGUCCGGAAUUAUUGGGCGUAAAGCGCGCGCAGGCGGUCCUUUAAGUCUGAUGUGAAGGCCCACGGCUCAACCGUGGAGGGUCAUUGGAAACUGGGGGACUUGAGUGCAGAAGAGGAGAGUGGAAUUCCACGUGUAGCGGUGAAAUGCGUAGAGAUGUGGAGGAACACCAGUGGCGAAGGCGACUCUCUGGUCUGUAACUGACGCUGAGGCGCGAAAGCGUGGGGAGCAAACAGG